rnacentral:rRNA from 1 species
GACGAACGCUGGCGGCGCGCCUAACACAUGCAAGUCGAACGAGAGAUGAGGAGCUUGCUCUUCAAAUCGAGUGGCGAACGGGUGAGUAACGCGUGAGGAACCUGCCUCAAAGAGGGGGACAACAGUUGGAAACGACUGCUAAUACCGCAUAAGCCCACGGCUCGGCAUCGAGCAGAGGGAAAAGGAGUGAUCCGCUUUGAGAUGGCCUCGCGUCCGAUUAGCUAGUUGGUGAGGUAACGGCCCACCAAGGCGACGAUCGGUAGCCGGACUGAGAGGUUGAACGGCCACAUUGGGACUGAGACACGGCCCAGACUCCUACGGGAGGCAGCAGUGGGGAAUAUUGCACAAUGGGGGAAACCCUGAUGCAGCGACGCCGCGUGGAGGAAGAAGGUCUUCGGAUUGUAAACUCCUGUUGUUGAGGAAGAUAAUGACGGUACUCAACAAGGAAGUGACGG